UACGAAGGGGGCUAGCGUUGCUCGGAAUCACUGGGCGUAAAGGGCGCGUAGGCGGCGUUUUAAGUCGGGGGUGAAAGCCUGUGGCUCAACCACAGAAUGGCCUUCGAUACUGGGACGCUUGAGUAUGGUAGAGGUUGGUGGAACUGCGAGUGUAGAGGUGAAAUUCGUAGAUAUUCGCAAGAACACCGGUGGCGAAGGCGGCCAACUGGACCAUUACUGGACGCUGAGGCGCGAAAGCGUGGGGAGCAAACA
rnacentral:rRNA from 1 species